UACGUAGGGACCAAGCGUUGUUCGGAUUUACUGGGCGUAAAGCGUGCGCAGGCGGUUCGGUAUGUCGGCGGUGAAAGCCCCGGGCUCAACCUGGGAAUGGCCGUUGAAACUGGCGAACUGGAGUGUGGCAGAGGGGGGUGGAAUUCCGCGUGUAGCAGUGAAAUGCGUAGAGGUGCGGAGGAACACCGAUGGCGAAGGCAGCCCCCUGGGCUGACACUGACGCUCAGGCACGAAAGCGUGGGGAGCAAACAGG
rnacentral:rRNA from 1 species